UUGGCUUGGAAGCAGCCAUUCAUUUAAAGAGUGCGUAACAGCUCACUAGUCGAGGGACUCCGCAUGGAUAAUAAUCGGGCAUAAGCAUAUUACCGAAGCUAUGGAAUAGAACUAUUGGUAGGGGAGCAUUCCAGUCGCCGUCGAAGAUAUACCUUGAGGUAUGUUGGAGGCCCUGGAAAAGCAAAUGUAGGUAUAAGUAACGAUAAAGGGGGCGAGAAACCCCCUCGCCGUAAGACCAAGGAUUCCUGAUCAACGCUAAUCGGAUCAGGGUAAGUCGGGCCCUAAGGAUCAUCCGAAAGGAGAAGCCGAUGGAAGAAACGGUUAAUAUUCCGUUACUACGAUAAAGAGUGACGGGGAGACGGAGAAGUGACACAUCCGCCUGCUGACGGAAUAGCAGGUUAAAGAGUGUAGAUAAUGGCUGGAUAGGCAAAUCCGUUCGGCCAGUCGAACUUGACAGUACCGAGCGUCCUCGGACAAUCGGAUAGCGAUGGUAAACAGGCUUCCAAGAAAAUCCUCUAAACAUAUUUUUAUCGUACCCGUACCGCAAACGGACACACGUGGUCGAGUAGAACAUACUAAGGCGCUCGAGAGAUUCACGGUUAAGGAACUAGGCAAAUUGACCCUGUAACUUCGGGAAAAAGGGUCCCCGCUGCAAGGCGGGGCGCAGAGAAUAGGUCCAGGCAACUGUUUAACAAAAACACAGGGCUGUGCAAAAUUGAAAGAUGAAGUAUACAGCCUGACACCUGCCCGGUGCUGGAAGGUUAAGAGGAGAUGUCAUCGCAAGAGAAGCAUUGAAUUGAAGCCCCAGUAAACGGCGGCCGUAACUAUAACGGUCCUAAGGUAGCGAAAUUCCUUGUCGGGUAAGUUCCGACCUGCACGAAUGGUGUAAUGAUCUGGACGCUGUCUCAACCGUGAGCUCAGUGAAAUUGUAGUAUCGGUGAAGAUGCCGAUUACCCGCGAUGGGACGAAAAGACCCCGUGAACCUUUACUAUAGCUUAACAUUGAAUUUGGGUAAUUGAUGUGUAGGAUAGGCCGGAGGCUUUGAAGCGGGCACGCCAGUGUCCGUGGAGCCGCUGUUGAAAUACGGCCCUUUGAUUAUUUGAGUUCUAACCCGUUGUUGCGGGGACACUGUUUGGUGGGUAGUUUGACUGGGGUGGUCGCCUCCAAAAGUGUAACGGAGGCUUCUAAAGGUGCCCUCAGAACGAUUGGUAACCGUCCGUAGAGUGUAAUGGCAUAAGGGCGCUUGACUGGGAGACAGACAAGUCGAUCAGGUAGGAAACUAGAGCAUAGUGAUCCGGUGUUUCCGUAUGGAAGGGACAUCGCUCAAAGGAUAAAAGGUACUCCGGGGAUAACAGGCUGAUCCCUCCCAAGAGCUCAUAUCGACGGAGGGGUUUGGCACCUCGAUGUCGGCUCGUCACAUCCUGGGGCUGGAGAAGGUCCCAAGGGUUGGGCUGUUCGCCCAUUAAAGUGGCACGCGAGCUGGGUUCAGAACGUCGUGAGACAGUUCGGUCUCUAUCUAUCGUGGGCGUAGGAUAUUUGAGGGGCUCUGACACUAGUACGAGAGGACCGUGUUGGACAGACCACUGGUUUACCGGUUGUACCGCCAGGUGCACCGCCGGGUAUCUAAGUCUGGAUUGGAUAAGUGCUGAAAGCAUCUAAGUACGAAGCCAGCCUCAAGAUGAGAUAUCCCUAGAGGGUCGUUGUAGACUACGACGUAGAUAGGCUACAGGUGUAAGGGCAGCAAUGUCGAAGCCGAGUAGUACUAAUAGCCCGAGACUUUCGAUC
rnacentral:rRNA from 1 species